CCUACGGGUGGCAGCAGUGAGGAAUAUUGGUCAAUGGACGAGAGUCUGAACCAGCCUAGUAGCGUGAAGGAUGACUGCCCUAUGGGUUGUAAACUUCUUUUAUAUGGGAAUAAAAUGUUCCACGUGUGGGAUUUUGUAUGUACCAUAUGAAUAAGGAUCGGCUAACUCCGUGCCAGCAGCCGCGGUAAUACGGAGGAUCCGAGCGUUAUCCGGAUUUAUUGGGUUUAAAGGGAGCGUAGGUGGAUUGUUAAGUCAGUUGUGAAAGUUUGCGGCUCAACCGUAAAAUUGCAGUUGAAACUGGCAGUCUUGAGUACAGGAGAGGUGGGCGGAAUUCGUGGUGUAGCGGUGAAAUGCUUAGAUAUCACGAAGAACUCCGAUUGCGAAGGCAGUUCACUGGACUGCAACUGACACUGAGGCUCGAAAGUGUGGGUAUCAAACAGGAUUAGAUACCCCAGUAGUC
rnacentral:rRNA from 1 species